UGCACUUUAUAAUUUUUCACCAUCAAUAUCGCUGUUAUUUAAUAUCUCAUAUUAAGGAAAAUUUUAAAAUAUAAUGCUUACUUAUUAAAAAAAAAAAAGCACAUCCCUCAUAUAAAUAAAAGGACCAUUCUGCCCCUAUUCCCUCUUUUUAUUUAUUUAUUUUUUCCAUUCCAUGUGAGCCAUAUGCAAAAACAAGACAAGAACUCCCAAGUCAUUAAAUGUCCAUCAUUGAUUUAAAGAAUUGACUUUUAUUUUUUGGGAGAAGGAAUAUUGAAUAAGCCCAGAAAGAAGACGAAUGGGUGUCUGUCACUCAGUUGGUCUUUUGCCUUCAAUAAUUUUUGGCACAAUCUCCUUGCUUUCUCACAAUAUCUGCUUAUAAAUUAUAGCUUCAGUAGCUUCAUUAAUCACACCUGUCUGUUUACUCUUGGAAGAGAGGAAAUAUUGCAGAGAAAUGGAAAAGAAACAGACAGAUGUUAGAGAAAGCCAUGUCCUGGUAUUCCCUUUCCCAAUACAGGGUCACAUAAACCCAAUGCUUCAAUUCUCAAAACGUUUAGCCUCAAAAGGUCUCAAGGUCACCCUAAUCGCCAGCACCUCCAUUGCCAAAUCCAUGCAAACUCCCCAGGAGAGUUCCAUCAAUAUAGAAACCAUUUUUGAUGGAUUCCAGGAAGGAGAAAGAGCAGCAAGCCCUGUUGAAUAUAUGGAGCGUUACGAGGCCACAGUCCCACAAAGCUUAGCUGAGCUGAUAGAGAAACAUGGCAGCACUCCAUACCCAGUUAAGUGUAUUGUAUAUGAUUCUGUUAUGCCCUGGGCUUUAGAUGUGGCUCGAAGUUCAGGGAUCUCUGGAGCUUCAUUUUUCACUCAAUCCUGUGCGGUUUGUGUUAUAUAUUACCAUGCUAUUCAAGGGGCAUUGAAAGUUCCUUUGGAAGAAGAACCUGUGGCUGUGGUGUCUCUGCCUUCCUUGCCACAGUUGGAGUUCAAUGAUCUGCCACCGUUCGUGAAUGGUGCAGGGUCAUAUCCAGCAAUUUACGAACUUGUUUUCGGCCAGUUCUCAAACAUCGACGAUGCUGAUUGGCUCUUCUGGAACACCUUUAAUGGGCUUGAAGAUGAGGUAGUGAAUUGGAUGGCAAGUAAAUGGCCGAUCAAGCCAAUUGGACCAACAAUUCCUUCAAUGUUCUUAGACAAGCGACUGAAGGAUGACAAGGACUAUGGUCUCAGCCUCUUCAAGCCCAAUUCGGAUGCUUGCAUGAAGUGGCUAGACUCAAAGGAACCAAGCUCAGUUGUUUACGUAUCAUUUGGAAGCCUGGCUGCCCUUGGAGAAGACCAAAUGGCAGAAUUAGCAUGGGGUCUAAAGAGAAGCAACACCUACUUCCUAUGGGUAGUAAGAGAAUCAGAAAAAGAAAAGCUUCCAAACAACUUCGUAGAGGAGACUAUAGAAAUGGGACUAGUUGUAACAUGGAGUCCUCAACUGGAAGUUUUGGCUCACAAGUCUGUGGGGUGUUUUAUAACUCAUUGUGGGUGGAACUCAACGCUGGAGGCAUUGAGCUUGGGAGUGCCAAUGGUGGCCAUGCCACAAUGGACUGAUCAGCCAACCAAUGCCAAGUUUAUCACUGAUGUAUGGCAAGUAGGAAUUAGAGUGAAGGUAGAUGAAAAAGGCAUUGUUACUAAAGAAGAGAUAGAAAGAUGUAUAAGAGAAGUCAUGGAAGAAGAUGCAGGAAACGAGAUGAAGAAGAAUUCUGAGAAAUGGAAGAAACUUGCCUGCAUGGCAGUAGAUGAAGGUGGAAGCUCCGACAAGAACAUGGAGGAAUUUGUAACAAAACUCGUAUGCAGCUCUAAUGGUUUCAAAGAGUGAAACAAUUAGUUCUUCCAUUAGAUUAGUAGAUCAAUGAUUUGAUUGUCUGUUUCUGGUGUACACGGAAUUAUAGGUUCAAACCUCAUUGUGGGCCUUUUUUUUUUUUUUUU
rnacentral:misc_RNA from 1 species